AUUGAACGCUGGCGGAAUGCUUUACACAUGCAAGUCGAACGGGAGUAGCAAUACUCUAGUGGCGAACGGGUGAGUAACACAUCGGAACGUACCCUGACGUGGGGGAUAACACAUCGAAAGGUGUGCUAAUACCGCAUACGUCCUGAGGGAGAAAGCGGGGGGUCGUAAGACCUCGCGCGUUUGGAGCGGCCGAUGGCGGAUUAGCUAGUUGGUGGGGUAAAGGCCUACCAAGGCGACGAUCCGUAGCUGGUCUGAGAGGACGACCAGCCACACUGGGACUGAGACACGGCCCAGACUCCUACGGGAGGCAGCAGUGGGGAAUUUUGGACAAUGGGCGAAAGCCUGAUCCAGCCAUUCCGCGUGAGUGAAGAAGGCCUUCGGGUUGUAAAGCUCUUUCGGCAGGAACGAAACGGCUCUUUCUAAUACAAGGAGUCAAUGACGGUACCUGAAGAAGAAGCACCGGCUAACUACGUGCCAGCAGCCGCAGUAA
rnacentral:rRNA from 1 species